rnacentral:rRNA from 1 species
GACGAACGCUGGCGGCGUGCCUAAUACAUGCAAGUAGGACGCUGAAGGAGGAGCUUGCUUCUCUGGAUGAGUUGCGAACGGGUGAGUAACGCGUAGGUAACCUGCCUGGUAGCGGGGGAUAACUAUUGGAAACGAUAGCUAAUACCGCAUAAUAGUAGAUGUUGCAUGACAUUUGCUUAAAAGGUGCAAUUGCAUCACUACCAGAUGGACCUGCGUUGUAUUAGCUAGUUGGUGGGGUAACGGCUCACCAAGGCGACGAUACAUAGCCGACCUGAGAGGGUGAUCGGCCACACUGGGACUGAGACACGGCCCAGACUCCUACGGGAGGUAGCAGUAGGGAAUCUUCGGCAAUGGACGGAAGUCUGACCGAGCAACGCCGCGUGAGUGAAGAAGGUUUUCGGAUCGUAAAGCUCUGUUGUAAGAGAAGAACGAGUGUGAGAGUGGAAAGUUCACACUGUGACGGUAUCUUACCAGAAAGAGACGGCUAACUACGUG